GUAACGUCGUCUCGACGCGGGCGGUAGCGAAGUCCGGUGCGAAUCCGGCGCUGUGCCGCAACUGUGAUGCCCUCCGGGGCGAGUCAGGUCGCCUUCGCCCGUGUCGACGCCUUGUCCACCUCCGGCGCAGAGGUGGGGUGUCAG
rnacentral:sRNA from 2 species